rnacentral:rRNA from 1 species
AGUAGGGAUACCCGCUGAACUUAAGCAUAUCAU